rnacentral:rRNA from 1 species
UACGGGGGGGGCAAGCGUUGUUCGGAAUUACUGGGCGUAAAGGGCGCGUAGGCGGCCUUCUAAGUCGGACGUGAAAUCCCUCGGCUUAACCGAGGAACUGCGUCCGAUACUGAAAGGCUUGAAUCCGGGAGAGGGAUGUGGAAUUCCAGGUGUAGCGGUGAAAUGCGUAGAUAUCUGGAGGAACACCGGUGGCGAAGGCGACUCUUUGGCCUGUAACUGACGCUGAGGCGCGAAAGCGUGGGGAGCAAACAGG